CGUUGUUUUUAGCGUCCGAUUCGAUUUUUGUUUUGACAAAUCAAACCGGUGUGAAAAAAAAUCCGUCACCGAAAUUUCAGAAUUCAGCUAUCUGAAUGGGUUUGCUUGACCUCUGCAUAAUCGUAAUCCAUUGAGCAUUGAUGAUGCAAAAGGAAAGCAACAUACGGGUGGUUCCUGAACAAUCGCUUUCAAGUCACGUUAACUUGGCAGCUGCAAUUACGGCUACGGAAAGAUGUCACGGAUGAAACCAACGCUGUAUUUGGUGUCUAUUCCAAAUGUCCAUAUACACGAUGAUGGCUGUUCCGGUGAAGCGUUGUUAGCGAUAGGAACGAAGAUAACGAUAUGCUUAAUGAGGUGGUUUGCGCGAAAGAUUUGCAAUGUAGAGUCCAGCAAAAGCAGUUCAAUACCAACAGAAAAUCAUCCGGAAUUCGGAUUCAAUCAUCGAACCCAUCUACAAGCGCGAAUUUCGAGCUACAUAUCAUUAACAUAUUGGCGAAAAUUAUUAAAAAGAUUUUGAAAGUAGUGCAGGUAACUCUAAAAAACAUGUAAUAUUAAAUCUUAAAUUAUUAUUAUCAGAAAUGGACAAAAGUAAAAACAUGGAAUAAAACA
rnacentral:lncRNA from 1 species